CCCUUAGAUGUUCUGGGCCGCACGCGCGCUACACUGACGAAUGCAACGAGCUUAUAACCUUGGCCGAAAGGUCUGGGUAAUCUCCAAAUUUCGUCGUGAUGGGGAUAGAUUAUUGCAAUUAUUAAUCUUCAACGAGGAAUGCCUAGUAAGCGCAAGUCAUCAGCUUGCGUUGAUUGCGUCCCUGCCCUUUGUACACACCGCCCGUCGCUCCUACCGAUUGAAUGGUCCGGUGAAGCGUUCGGACCGUGGCCUUUGGACGGUUCGCCGUCUGUUGGCUGCGGGAAGUUCGUUAAACCUUAUCAUUUAGAGGAAGGAGAAGUCGUAGCA
rnacentral:rRNA from 1 species